rnacentral:rRNA from 1 species
UACGAAGGGGGCUAGCGUUGUUCAGAAUUACUGGGCGUAAAGGGCGCGUAGGCGGCCUAUCAAGUCAGAUGUGAAAGCCCUGGGCUUAACCUAGGAGGUGCAUUUGAUACUGAUGGGCUUGAGAUCGAGAGAGGAGAGUGGAAUUGCGAGUGUAGAGGUGAAAUUCGUAGAUAUUCGCAAGAACACCGGUGGCGAAGGCGACUCUCUGGCUCGAUACUGACGCUAAGGCGCGAAAGCGUGGGGAGCAAACAGG